GCAGAAGUUAAGCAAAGCAGGUAAAAGAUGCCAGUGAUCAAUAUUGAAGACUUGACCGAAAAGGACAAAUUGAAGAUGGAAGUUGACCAGCUCAAGAAAGAAGUGACCCUGGAAAGAAUGCUGGUCUCCAAAUGUUGUGAAGAAGUAAGGGAUUAUGUUGAAGAAAGAUCUGGGGAAGAUCCACUAGUAAAGGGUAUUCCAGAAGACAAAAAUCCCUUCAAGGAACUCAAAGGAGGCUGUGUGAUUUCAUAAGAAAAAAAAAAAAAAUCCGUGGAAUAACUUGAGCUUGAAUGACAGUACUAAUUUUUGGUCAUCUAUAAUAAUACUGUUAAGCAUACUGUCUGCAGGAGUUGG